rnacentral:tRNA from 1 species
GAGAGAAUAGAGCCCAAAUAAGAAUUGCUAACUCCUUAUGACCAUGGUUAAACUCCCUGGUUCCCUCA